ensembl:lincRNA Gm13658 uncharacterized LOC110317538
CAUGAUGAAAAUUAUUUUUAGUUUAUCAUAUACCCACAUGAGCAUGACCUACUACAAGGUCCAGAGAAAGGGAGAGAAAUCGUAUGUACAUGAAAGCCCAGUACAGAAUUAAAGCCAAAAAACAAUUAACUAUAAAAUGAUAAGGACCUAUGUUUAGGAGGGGGAAAUACAAAAAAGAACUUUGAAAAACUUCAGGCAGGUCAUUAAGUGAUUUUAGCUUAUUAUUUCCAACUAAGAGCCAGGGCAAGUUUAAGUGGUCUGACUAAAGUCUUACACUCACUCAUUCACUUGGAAAACAACCACUGCUAACCAGCUGCCUUUCUGGCCCCAGGGACCAAGGUUAAAUUUCCGCAUUUAUUUCCCCCACAUUUCUGACUGAUCGAAUAAAGCUCUGAACCCUGACAGCCUAGCUCAUGUCAGCUACUGUCAUAACCUUCAUCCUUGAUUACCAAAAAUAGCCUGGCAUUUAGUAGGAGAAAGUGGAAUUUAAGGCUGAGCAGCAUCAAAAUGGUCCACCUGUGUAUCUGCUGGAAACAUUAAACAAGCAAUUAAGUCCUUCAUCUCCAGUCAUUCCACACGGUUUGUCCAGGGGCGUCCGUUAUCACCACAGGCUGUGUUGUUUUAAGAAACCUGAAUUCAGCCAAGAUAAUGAAAAUCUCCAAGUCCGAGCAACAGUGCUGCAUAUUCAGGGGGUUCCUGCAGUUUCUGCCUCUCCCAGCCUUUAUCUUUUAAGGCCUGUAUUAGUUACUUUCCUCACUGUUCUGAUGGAUACGACUUAAGGGAGAAAGGAUUUAUUUUGGUUCUCAGUUCCAGAAGUUAGUUUGCUGUGCCAGGACCAUCUCUGUGGUCGGUGGCUGGAGUGUGUCAAGCCAGUUCCUCACAUCUUUGUGAUUUCCUUUGCGUAUUCUAGUG